rnacentral:rRNA from 1 species
GAUUAACGCUAGCGGCAGGCCUAAUACAUGCAAGUCGAGGGGCAGCAGGGUGUAGCAAUACAUCGCUGGCGACCGGCGCACGGGUGCGUAACACGUAUGCAACCUACCUUUAACUGGGGAAUAGCCCUCCGAAAGGAGGAUUAACACCGCAUAACAUCACGAGACGGCAUCGCCUUGUGAUCAAACCUCCGGGGGUUAAAGAUGGGCAUGCGUCCGAUUAGCUAGUUGGCGGGGUAACGGCCCACCAAGGCGACGAUCGGUAGGGGGUCUGAGAGGAUGAUCCCCCACACUGGUACUGAGACACGGACCAGACUCCUACGGGAGGGCAGCAGUAAGGAAUAUUGGACAAUGGUCGCAAGACUGAUCCAGCCACUGCCGCGUGCAGGAUGAACGAUCUAUGAUCUGUAAACUGCUUUUGUUUCGGGGAAUAAACCCCUUCCACGUGUGGAGGGCUAAUGUACCGAAAGAAUAAGGGUCGGCUAACUUCGUGCCAGCAGCC